GUCAAAGUGAUGUAGUGGUUUGAGGCUUGGACUCUGACUCCGAAUGCCAGGGUUCAAUUCCAUGCCCAGUCA